rnacentral:rRNA from 1 species
GAACGCUGGCUGCCGGCUUAAACAUGCAAUGUCGAGCAAUGAAUGCUCCUUCGGGANUGGCUUAUGCGGCGGACGGGUGAGUAACACGUGCGGUAACCUGCCUCAUAGAGGGGAAUCAGCCUUUCGAAAGGAAGAUUAAUACCGCAUAAGAUUGUAGUACCGCAUGGUACAGCAAUUAAAGGAGUAAUCCGCUAUGAGAUGGACCCGCGUCGCAUUAGCUAGUUGGUGAGGUAACGGCUCACCAAGGCGACGAUGCGUAGCCGACCUGAGAGGGUGAUCGGCCACAUUGGGACUGAGACACGGCCCAGACUCCUACGGGAGGCAGCAGUGGGGAAUAUUGCACAAUGGGGGAAACCCUGAUGCAGCAACGCCGCGUGAGUGAUGACGGUCUUCGGAUUGUAACGCUCUGUCUUUAGGGACGAUAAUGACGGUACCUAAGGAGGAAGCACGGCUAACUACGUGCCANCAGCCGCGGUAUACUAGUGGCAAGCGUUGUCCGGUUUACUGGGCUAAGGGAGCGUAGUGGUAUUAAGUGGGAUGUGAAUACCGGGCUAACUGGGUGUNAUCCAACCGGAUUCUAAGUGAGGAN